GGCAAGAUGGCCGAGUUGGUUAUGGCGCCAGGUUAAGGAAGCCCUUUAUCCUUAGCAUACUAUAUCCUGGUAGGGAAACCUGCGUGGGUUCAAGUCCCACUCUUGUCA